GCCGAUGUAGUUCAAUGGAAGAACAUCAGCUUGCCAAGCUGAAUACGCGGGUUCGAUUCCCGUCAUCGGCACCG
rnacentral:tRNA from 1 species